rnacentral:rRNA from 1 species
AGGACGAACGCUGGCGGCGUGCUUAACACAUGCAAGUCGAACGAGGUGCUUGCACCUAGUGGCGAACGGGUGAGUAACACGUGAGCAACCUGCCCUUGGCUCUGGGAUAGCCUCCGGAAACGGGGAUUAAUACCGGACAUGACCUUGGUCUGCAUGGACUGAGGUGGAAAGUUUUUCGGCCAGGGAUGGGCUCGCGGCCUAUCAGCUUGUUGGGGGGUAACGGCCCACCAAGGCGACGAC